rnacentral:tRNA from 1 species
AAUUUUGUAUUUUAAGUGAGAAUAGUAAAUUGCAAGUUUACAGGUAAUUUUAUAAUUCAAAAUUU